GGGUAUAGCUCGGUUGGUAGAGCACUCAUCUAACAUGUGGAAGAUCCUGGGUUCGAUCCCUAGUAGCACCCA
rnacentral:tRNA from 1 species